ACAUUAUCUUUAAUUUGUUUUAUAGGUGCAGCUGGGCAGAGGAAUUGCCGUAUAUGAGGGCGUUUACAGCCGUCUCAUGAGCACAAAAAGUGAGACUCGGUUUGUGCGUGAGGCAGCUGUAGCCAUUUUUUCAACAGCAGGCCUAGUCGGGCGCUCCGUCACUGGCGCAGCCUCCAACCGUACUAAAGGGGAGGCAAAACCUCCCUUGGACAAAGAAAAGUACACUGUGCUUUCUGAUUUCUUCAAUCAUUUUUUGAAGAACACGGUGCCGAUUGGAGAGGUAAACCAAAAGAUGAAAGUCCUCAACAAGUCGCUCGCGAACAAAAUUAACGACCUCAUGAAGUCUAAAGAUUAGUUCAGCGGAGCAUAAAAUAAAAGGUUUUGU
rnacentral:lncRNA from 1 species